AAUCAAAAUAAAUCUCCAAAUGGUGUCCCACAAAUAAAGUGGAAUACCAAGCAAGCUAUCUCUUCAAGGGUCAUGUGAGCCCUCACAAAAACUCAACAAACACGUUAGAAUAACCAAAUGGGGUGCAACCAAGAAUUGCACCAAACAAAAGAAACAUAACAACAACUGCGUUAGGUAAACAGUGCACGGAUGCAAAGGAAAACAAUGUCACAACAAAACACAAAACAGAUUAGAGAGCAAUUAGAAA
rnacentral:lncRNA from 1 species